AUUGAACAUAAGAGUUUGAUCCUGGCUCAGAUUGAACGCUGGCGGCAUGCUUUACACAUGCAAGUCGGACGGCAGCACAGGGAAGCUUGCUUCUCGGGUGGCGAGUGGCGAACGGGUGAGUAACAUAUCGGAACGUACCGGGUAGCGGGGGAUAACUGAUCGAAAGAUCAGCUAAUACCGCAUACGUCUUGAGAGGGAAAGCAGGGGACCUUCGGGCCUUGCGCUAUCCGAGCGGCCGAUAUCUGAUUAGCUGGUUGGCGGGGUAAAGGCCCACCAAGGCGACGAUCAGUAGCGGGUCUGAGAGGAUGAUCCGCCACACUGGGACUGAGACACGGCCCAGACUCCUACGGGAGGCAGCAGUGGGGAAUUUUGGACAAUGGGCGCAAGCCUGAUCCAGCCAUGCCGCGUGUCUGAAGAAGGCCUUCGGGUUGUAAAGGACUUUUGUCAGGGAAGAAAAGGCCGUUGCCAAUAUCGGCGGCCGAUGACGGUACCUGAAGAAUAAGCACCGGCUAACUACGUGCCAGCAGCCGCGGUAAUACGUAGGGUGCGAGCGUUAAUCGGAAUUACUGGGCGUAAAGCGGGCGCAGACGGUUACUUAAGCAGGAUGUGAAAUCCCCGGGCUCAACCCGGGAACUGCGUUCUGAACUGGGUGACUCGAGUGUGUCAGAGGGAGGUGGAAUUCCACGUGUAGCAGUGAAAUGCGUAGAGAUGUGGAGGAAUACCGAUGGCGAAGGCAGCCUCCUGGGAUAACACUGACGUUCAUGUCCGAAAGCGUGGGUAGCAAACAGGAUUAGAUACCCUGGUAGUCCACGCCCUAAACGAUGUCAAUUAGCUGUUGGGCAACUUGAUUGCUUGGUAGCGUAGCUAACGCGUGAAAUUGACCGCCUGGGGAGUACGGUCGCAAGAUUAAAACUCAAAGGAAUUGACGGGGACCCGCACAAGCGGUGGAUGAUGUGGAUUAAUUCGAUGCAACGCGAAGAACCUUACCUGGUUUUGACAUGUGCGGAAUCCUCCGGAGACGGAGGAGUGCCUUCGGGAGCCGUAACACAGGUGCUGCAUGGCUGUCGUCAGCUCGUGUCGUGAGAUGUUGGGUUAAGUCCCGCAACGAGCGCAACCCUUGUCAUUAGUUGCCAUCAUUCGGUUGGGCACUCUAAUGAGACUGCCGGUGACAAGCCGGAGGAAGGUGGGGAUGACGUCAAGUCCUCAUGGCCCUUAUGACCAGGGCUUCACACGUCAUACAAUGGUCGGUACAGAGGGUAGCCAAGCCGCGAGGCGGAGCCAAUCUCACAAAACCGAUCGUAGUCCGGAUUGCACUCUGCAACUCGAGUGCAUGAAGUCGGAAUCGCUAGUAAUCGCAGGUCAGCAUACUGCGGUGAAUACGUUCCCGGGUCUUGUACACACCGCCCGUCACACCAUGGGAGUGGGGGAUACCAGAAGUAGGUAGGGUAACCGCAAGGAGCCCGCUUACCACGGUAUGCUUCAUGACUGGGGUGAAGUCGUAACAAGGUAGCCGUAGGGGAACCUGCGGCUGGAUCACCUCCUUUCU
rnacentral:rRNA from 1 species